UCUCCUGUAUAGCUCAGUGGUAGAGCGUCCGACCGGUGUGCGGAAGGUCAUAGGUUCUAAUUCUGCUGGGAGAA
rnacentral:tRNA from 1 species